GACGAACGCUGGCGGCGUGCUUCAUACAUGCAAGUCGAACGAGAAAUUCACUUCGGUGGAUGGAAAGUGGCGGACGGGUGAGUAAAAUGUAGGAAAUCUGCCCUAGAGAGGGGGACAACGGUUGGAAACGACCGCUAAUACCCCAUAUGAGCGUACCUGAAAUGGUAUUCUUGAAAACUCCGGUGCUCUAGGAUGAGCCUGCAUCUGAUUAGCUAGUUGGGGGUGUAAUGGACCACCAAGGCGACGAUCAGUAGCUGGUUUGAGAGGAUGAUCAGCCACAAUGGGACUGAGACACGGCCCAUACUCCUACGGGAGGCAGCAGUGGGGAAUAUUGGGCAAUGGGCGAAAGCCUGACCCAGCGACGCCGCGUGAAGGAAGACGGUCUUCGGAUUGUAAACUUCUUUAUAAGGGACGAAGCAUGACGGUACCUUAUGAAUAAGCCACGGCUAACUACGUG
rnacentral:rRNA from 1 species